rnacentral:rRNA from 1 species
AGAGGAAGCUUGCUUCUCUUGAGAGCGGCGGACGGGUGAGUAAUACCUAGGAAUCUGCCUGAUAGUGGGGGAUAACGUUCGGAAACGGACGCUAAUACCGCAUACGUCCUACGGGAGAAAGCAGGGGACCUUCGGGCCUUGCGCUAUAAGAUGAGCCUAGGUCGGAUUAGCUAGUUGGUGAGGUAAUGGCUCACCAAGGCUACGAUCCGUAACUGGUCUGAGAGGAUGAUCAGUCACACUGGAACUGAGACACGGUCCAGACUCCUACGGGAGGCAGCAGUGGGGAAUAUUGGACAAUGGGCGAAAGCCUGAUCCAGCCAUGCCGCGUGUGUGAAGAAGGUCUUCGGAUUGUAAAGCACUUUAAGUUGGGAGGAGGGGCAUUAACCUAAUACGUUAGUGUCUUGACGUUACCGACAGAAUAAGCACCGGCUAACUCUGUG